GAAAACGACUGCUAAGACUGGAUAGGAGAUAAGAAGGCAUCUUCUUCUUUUUAAAAGACCUAGCAAUAGGUAUGCUUAGGGAGGAGCUUGCGUCACAUUAGUUAGUUGGUGGGGUAAAGGCCUACCAAGACUAUGAUGUGUAGCCGGGCUGAGAGGUUGAACGGCCACAUUGGGACUGAGACACGGCCCAAACUCCUACGGGAGGCAGCAGUAGGGAAUUUUCGGCAAUGGAGGAAACUCUGACCGAGCAACGCCGCGUGAACGAUGAAGUAUUUCGGUACGUAAAGUUCUUUUAUUAGGGAAGAAUAAAUGAUGGAAAAAUCAUUCUGACGGUACCUAAUGAAUAAGCCCCGGCUAACUAUGUGCCAGCAGCCGCGGUAAUACAUAGGGGGCAAGCGUUAUCCGGAAUUAUUGGGCGUAAAGGGUGCGUAGGCGGUUAAAUAAGUUUAUGGUCUAAGUGCAAUGCUCAACAUUGUGAUGCUAUAAAAACUGUUUAGCUAGAGUAAGAUAGAGGCAAGUGGAAUUCCAUGUGUAGUGGUAAAAUGCGUAAAUAUAUGGAGGAACACCAGUAGCGAAGGCGGCUUGCUGGGUCUUUACUGACGCUGAGGCACGAAAGCGUGGGGAGCAAACAGGAUUAGAUACCCUGGUAGUCCACGCCGUAAACGAUGAGUACUAAACGUUGGGUAAAACCAGUGUUGAAGUUAACACAUUAAGUACUCCGCCUGAGUAGUACGUACGCAAGUAUGAAACUUAAAGGAAUUGACGGGACUCCGCACAAGCGGUGGAUCAUGUUGUUUAAUUCGAAGGUACCCGAAAAACCUCACCAGGUCUUGACAUGCUUCUGCAAAACUGUAGAAACACAGUGGAGGUUAUCAGUUGCACAGGUGGUGCAUGGUUGUCGUCAGCUCGUGUCGUGAGAUGUUGGGUUAAGUCCCGCAACGAGCGCAACCCUUAUUGUUAGUUACCAGCACGUAAUGGUGGGGACUUUAGCAAGACUGCCGGUGAUAAAUUGGAGGAAGGUGGGGACGACGUCAAAUCAUCAUGCCCCUUAUGACCUGGGCUACAAACGUGAUACAAUGGCUGUUACAAAGGGUAGCUGAAACGCAAGUUUUUGGCGAAUCUCUAAAAAACAGUCUCAGUUCGGAUUGAAGUCUGCAACUCGACUUCAUGAAGUUGGAAUCGCUAGUAAUCGCGAAUCAGCAUGUCGCGGUGAAUACGUUCUCGGGGUUUGUACACACCGCCCGUC
rnacentral:rRNA from 1 species